GGUUAUGGCUCAGUGGCAGAGCACUUGCCUCACAUAUGUGAGGUCCUGGGUUCAAUCCCCAGCACCA
rnacentral:tRNA from 1 species